rnacentral:tRNA from 1 species
GUCCGUAUAGAUUAUAUUAAAUCGCAAAGCUGUUAACUUUGAGAAGUUAUUUAAAUACUGUGGUCG